rnacentral:snRNA from 1 species
AUCUUUGCGCUUGGGACAAUGACGCAAUUAAUGAGUACUAACCGAGGCGCGUCUAUUGCUGGUUGAAAACUAUUUCCAAACCCCUUCUUAUGCUUGGGAUCUCCUCAAGCCUUCGAGAAUUUCUGGAAGGACUCCCUUUGAGGUAAAGUC